rnacentral:rRNA from 1 species
GACGAACGCUGGCGGCGUGCUUAACACAUGCAAGUCGAACGGAAAGGCCCUGCUUUUGUGGGGUGCUCGAGUGGCGAACGGGUGAGUAACACGUGAGUAACCUGCCCUUGACUUUGGGAUAACUUCAGGAAACUGGGGCUAAUACAGGAUAGGAGCUCCUGCUGCAUGGUGGGGGUUGGAAAGUUUCGGCGGUUGGGGAUGGACUCGCGGCUUAUCAGCUUGUUGGUGGGGUAGUGGCUUACCAAGGCUUUGACGGGUAGCCGGCCUGGGAGCGUGGCCGGCCACAUUGGGACUGAGAUACGCCGCAGACUCCUACGGGAGGCAGCAGUGGGGAGUCUUGCACAAUGGGCCGAAGCCUGAUGCAGCAACGCCGCGUGCGGGAUGACGGCCUUCGGGUUGUAAACCGCUUUCGCCUGUGACGAAGCGUGAGUGACGGUACUGGGUAAAGAAGCACCGGCUAACUACGUG